UUUACGUUACACUACCUGGUAAUUAUGACAUGAAGGAAACGCCAAAUUUGCUGUGCUGUCAAAAAUCUUACUAGCCCCUGAGCUACUUAAAAAUUAUUCACCACACUUAACGUCAUAUUUUUACUAUCCCUACAAAUUUUCUACCAUUCGACACACAGCCUUCAUUCUAGAUACAUUCAUUUACAGGAUUGUGUGUAUUAGACUCUCGACAAGGAAACCUUGUUGACCGCAUACAGAGCAAUUGGCCGGUCUGUGGUACGUUAUGCAGCGCCAGUGUGGUCUCGUCAGCUUUGUGACACGCAGUGGAAUAAUAUUCAGAUCUGUCAGAAUGCCGUCCUCCGAACUGCGACGGGCUAUCUCCUCAGUUCUCAUGUGGAUCACCUCCACCGGGAGACAAAGAUCCUACCAGUGCGACGACAUAACUACAUGCUGUGUAAGUAAUACCUUUUGGGAUGUUAUCGCAGAGAUCAUCCAAAUCAUAAUCUUGUGGAUAGAUAUCCACCGCCCGGAAGCAUUCAUGCAGACACGGUAGCUAAUGCGGUAAAUAGCUACCGGAUUGAUGCUGACGUGCAAGAUGUAUGUCCCGAUUGUGACCGGGGAUCACAUGAUACACGUCACCUGUUUAACUGCCCAGCCAGACCCACUCGACUCAGACCCAGAUCCGCGUGGACGCACCCCAUCUUAGUCGCAGAGUUCCUGGAUCUUGACACUCAACAGAAUCAAGCAGACGAAAGAUAGCAACAAACUGCUACAACAACAACAACCAUACCUAUUGGAUUGCCUUCCUUCACGAAGGCAGGUCAAGAAGGAUCUCUGCAACCACCAUAUAAAAAGAACGGAACCUAUUGAAAUUUAAUAUCAACGAAAUAUGUUGAAAAAGUCAAAAGAAGUCUGUGACAAAUGCCGUAGUUUGGACCACAUUCCUAAUGUAAAAUAAUUUUAAUUUUAGUCAUGUCAUAAAGUCUAUUGUAUAAAUUGUUAUAUCCAACAAAUACAUAUAUUAAACACGUUA